AUUGAACGCUGGCGGCAGGCCUAACACAUGCAAGUCGAACGCGUGGCGGGCGGGUGAGUUAUGUCUGGGACUCUGCCUGAUGGGGGGGGAUCACUACUGGAAACGGUAGCUAAUACCGCAUACCAUCAUAUAUGCCCAUAUGGGAUUAGCUUGUUGGUGGGGUAACGGCUCACCAAGGCGACGCUCCCUAGCUGGUCUGAGAGGAUGACCAGCCACACUGGAACUGAGACACGGUCCAGACUCCUACGGGAGGCAGCAGUGGGGAAUAUUGCACAAUGGGCGCAAGCCUGAUGCAGCCAUGCCGCGUGUAUGAAGAAGGCCUUCGGGUUGUAAAGUACUUUCAGUGGGGAGGCGUUACCCACAGAAGAAGCACCGGCUAACUCCGUGCCAGCAGCCGCGGUAAUAC
rnacentral:rRNA from 1 species